rnacentral:rRNA from 1 species
UAGGGAAUCUUCCGCAAUGGACGAAAGUCUGACGGAGCAACGCCGCGUGAGUGAUGAAGGCUUUCGGGUCGUAAAACUCUGUUGUUAGGGAAGAACAAGUACGAGAGUAACUGCUCGUACCUUGACGGUACCUAACCAGAAAGCCACGGCUAACUACGUGCCAGCAGCCGCGGUAAUACGUAGGUGGCAAGCGUUAUCCGGAAUUAUUGGGCGUAAAGCGCGCGCAGGCGGUUUCUUAAGUCUGAUGUGAAAGCCCACGGCUCAACCGUGGAGGGUCAUUGGAAACUGGGGAACUUGAGUGCAGAAGAGAAAAGCGGAAUUCCACGUGUAGCGGUGAAAUGCGUAGAGAUGUGGAGGAACACCAGUGGCGAAGGCGGCUUUUUGGUCUGUAACUGACGCUGAGGCGCGAAAGCGUGGGGAGCAAACAGGAUUAGAUACCCCCGUAGUCC